rnacentral:rRNA from 1 species
AACGAACGCUGGCGGCAGGCUUAACACAUGCAAGUCGAACGCAUCCUUCGGGGUGAGUGGCAGACGGGUGAGUAACGCGUGGGAACGUGCCCUUCAGUUCGGGAUAACCCAGGGAAACUUGGGCUAAUACCGGAUACGUGCGAGAGCAGAAAGAUUUAUCGCUGAAGGAUCGGCCCGUGUCUGAUUAGCUAGUUGGUGGGGUAAUGGCCCACCAAGGCGACGAUCAGUAGCUGGUCUGAGAGGAUGAUCAGCCACAUUGGGACUGAGACACGGCCCAAACUCCUACGGGAGGCAGCAGUGGGGAAUAUUGGACAGUGGGCGCAAGCCUGAUCCAGCCAUGCCGCGGGAGUGAUGAAGGCCUUAGGGUUGUAAAGCUCUUUCGUCCGGGACGAUAAUGACGGUACCGGAAGAAGAAGCCCCGGCUAACUUCGUGCCAGCAGCCGCCGUAA